AGUGAACGCUGGCGGCAGGCCUAACACAUGCAAGUCGAACGGCAGCACAGUAAGAGCUUGCUCUUACGGGUGGCGAGUGGCGGACGGGUGACGAAUACAUCGGAAUCUACUUUUUCGUGGGGGAUAACGUAGGGAAACUUACGCUAAUACCGCAUACGACCUACGGGUGAAAGCAGGGGAUCUUCGGACCUUGCGCGAUUGAAUGAGCCGAUGUCGGAUUAGCUAGUUGGCGGGGUAAAGGCCCACCAAGGCGACGAUCCGUAGCUGGUCUGAGAGGAUGAUCAGCCACACUGGAACUGAGACACGGUCCAGACUCCUACGGGAGGCAGCAGUGGGGAAUAUUGGACAAUGGGCGCAAGCCUGAUGCAGCCAUACCGCGUGGGUGAAGAAGGCCUUCGGGUUGCAAAGCCCUUUUGUUGGGAAAGAAAAGCAGCAGGUUAAAACCCCGCUGUUCUGACGGUACCCAAAGAAUAAGCACCGGCUAACUACGUG
rnacentral:rRNA from 1 species